rnacentral:rRNA from 1 species
AAGUCCCGCAACGAGCGCAACCCUUGUCUUCUGUUGCCAUCGGGUCAAGCCGGGCACUCUGAAGAGACUGCCGGUGACAAACCGGAGGAAGGUGGGGAUGACGUCAAGUCAGCAUGGCCUUUAUGUCUGGGGCCACACACGUGCUACAAUGGCCGGUACAAACCGUCGCGAGCCCGCGAGGGGGAGCUAAUCGGAGAAAGCCGGUCUCAGUUCGGAUUGUAGGCUGCAGGAGGGCCUGCAUGAAGUUGGAAUCGCUAGUAAUCGCGAAUCAGCACGCCGCGGUGAAUACGUUCCCGGGCUUCAGUUCUCACCGCCCGUCACAUCACGAAAGCUGGCUGUACGGGACUUCUAAGCCAACCCGCAAGGGAGGCAAGUUCCUAAGGU